rnacentral:rRNA from 1 species
UACGUAGGGCGCAAGCGUUGUCCGGAAUUAUUGGGCGUAAAGAGCUCGUAGGCGGUUUGUCGCGUCUGCUGUGAAAUCCCGAGGCUCAACCUCGGGCUUGCAGUGGGUACGGGCAGACUAGAGUGCGGUAGGGGAGACUGGAAUUCCUGGUGUAGCGGUGAAAUGCGCAGAUAUCAGGAGGAACACCGGUGGCGAAGGCGGCAUCCUGGACCGAUGAC